GACGAACGCUGGCGGCGUGCUUAACACAUGCAAGUCGAACGGUAAGGCCCUUCGGGGUACACGAGUGGCGAACGGGUGAGUAACACGUGGGUGAUCUGCCCUGCACUUCGGGAUAAGCCUGGGAAACUGGGUCUAAUACCGGAUAGGACCACUGCCUGCAUGGGUGGUGGUGGAAAGCUUUUGCGGUGUGGGAUGGGCCCGCGGCCUAUCAGCUUGUUGGUGGGGUGAUGGCCUACCAAGGCGACGACGGGUAGCCGGCCUGAGAGGGUGACCGGCCACACUGGGACUGGGAUACGGGCCAGACUCCUACGGGAGGCAGCAGUGGGGAAUAUUGCACAAUGGCGCAAGCCUGAUGCAGCGACGCCGCGUGAGGGAUGACGGCCUUCGGGUUGUAAACCUCUUUCAGCACCGACGAAGCGCAAGUGACGGUAGGUGCAGAAGAAGGACCGGCCAACUACGUGCCAGCCGCCGCGGUAA
rnacentral:rRNA from 1 species